GAUCAGUGGUAUUUGUUGAGUGCUUACUGUGUGCAGAGCACAUCUAUACUCAUUAGCAAAAAUCCUUUUGACUAAGUCAUUUUCUUCUACGUGCCCUCUAUUGCUUUGGGGAAGCGCCUAUCAUUUUUCGUUUUUCUAAACAUGGUUCUAGUGAUGUGAUGGAAAGGGUGAAGCUUCCUUAUCUUUUUAAAAGACCCCUACCCUCUUUUUAGGAACUACGGACCUAAGAAUCCAAAAUAUGUAUAUAUAAAAAGUCUGCAAUCCUUCUUACUUCUUUCAUACUAUUUAAAGAAACUGAUUAGAAGCAGAUGGAAGACUUCUGGUCAGUGAAAUUGAUUAUUCACUGAAUCAAGUUUUCAGGAGAACAACCAGUCUGCCAGUCUCCACCUGCCAAGGGGUCCAUCUGCUGUUUUUGCCUCCCAUUUGCUCGAAUAUGUCUUUGACCCUCUGGUUGUCUUUGUCAUUAAAGCCUUUGUUUUGCCCUC